rnacentral:rRNA from 1 species
GUGAACGCUGGCGGUAGGCCUAACACAUGCAAGUCGAACGGCAGCACAGUAAGAGCUUGCUCUUACGGGUGGCGAGUGGCGGACGGGUGAGGAAUACAUCGGAAUCUACUUUUUCGUGGGGGAUAACGUAGGGAAACUUACGCUAAUACCGCAUACGACCUACGGGUGAAAGCAGGGGAUCUUCGGACCUUGCGCGAUUGAAUGAGCCGAUGUCGGAUUAGCUAGUUGGCGGGGUAAAGGCCCACCAAGGCGACGAUCCGUAGCUGGUCUGAGAGGAUGAUCAGCCACACUGGAACUGAGACACGGUCCAGACUCCUACGGGAGGCAGCAGUGGGGAAUAUUGGACAAUGGGCACAAGCCUGAUCCAGCCAUACCGCGUGGGUGAAGAAGGCCUUCGGGUUGUAAAGCCCUUUUGUUGGGAAAGAAAAGCAGCAGGUUAAUACCCCGCUGUUCUGACGGUACCCAAAGAAUAAGCACCGGCUAACUUCGU